UGGGGAAUAUUGGACAAUGGGCGAAAGCCUGAUCCAGCCAUGCCGCGUGUGUGAAGAAGGUCUUCGGAUUGUAAAGCACUUUAAGUUGGGAGGAAGGGCAUUUACCUAAUACGUAAGUGUUUUGACGUUACCGACAGAAUAAGCACCGGCUAACUCUGUGCCAGCAGCCGCGGUAAUACAGAGGGUGCAAGCGUUAAUCGGAAUUACUGGGCGUAAAGCGCGCGUAGGUGGUUUGUUAAGUUGGAUGUGAAAUCCCCGGGCUCAACCUGGGAACUGCAUUCAAAACUGACAAGCUAGAGUAUGGUAGAGGGUGGUGGAAUUUCCUGUGUAGCGGUGAAAUGCGUAGAUAUAGGAAGGAACACCAGUGGCGAAGGCGACCACCUGGACUGAUACUGACACUGAGGUGCGAAAGCGUGGGGAGCAAAACAGGAUUAGAUACCCUGGUAGUCCACGCCGUAAACGUGUCAACUAGCCGUUGGGAGCCUUGAGCUCUUAGUGGCGCAGCUAACGCAUUAAGUUGACCGCCUGGGGAGUACGGCCGCAAGGUUAAAAACUCAAAGGAAUUGACGGGGUCAUAGCUGUUUCCUG
rnacentral:rRNA from 1 species